rnacentral:rRNA from 1 species
GACGAACGCUGGCGGCGUGCCUAAUACAUGCAAGUAGAACGCACAGUUUAUACCGUAGCUUGCUACACCAUAGACUGUGAGUUGCGAACGGGUGAGUAACGCGUAGGUAACCUGCCUGGUAGCGGGGGAUAACUAUUGGAAACGAUAGCUAAUACCGCAUAAUAUUAAUUAUUGCAUGAUAAUUAAUUGAAAGGUGCAAUUGCACCACUACCAGAUGGACCUGCGUUGUAUUAGCUAGUAGGUGAGGUAACGGCUCACCUAGGCGAGGAAACAUAGCCGACCGGCGAUGGUGGUUGGCCGCACUGGGACUGUGACACGGCCCAGACUCAUACAGGAGGCAGCAGUAGGGAAUCUUCGGCAAUGGGCGAAAGUCUGACCGAGCAACGCCGCAGGAGUGAAGAAGGUUGUCGGAUCGUAAAGCUCGGUUGUAAGGGAAGAACGGGUGUGAGAGUGGAAAGUUCACACUGUGACGGUAUCUUACCAGAAAGGGACGGCUAACUACGUG